GGCAGCGGAUCGCCUCGCUCUCUUUCCCCGCCGUUGCUGCGCAGAGGAGAAGUCACGAGGGAGGCCCGAGAUGUUCCUCAUGAUGAAAAGUAACCCAACGUUGCAUCGCUUGAUCGUCAUCACGGGCUGCUCGUAUCAAAUGCUGUUUGGACACCUGUCGGAGCCGGAUGGAGGCUGAGGGCUCUGCCGGUCAUUACGCUGCUGUUGUGACACCACAAUCUGCCAUGGCAGUAUGAUAACUAAAGGAAAUAAGUCCCAGAGAGGAGCCCGGACAAGAGGACGGCUGCCAUCUGCUUGUGCGAGAAGCUUCCAGAGGCUUAAAGAGUCGACCCAUCAGAAGAGAUUUUCUUCUCAGCUGAUACUUUGCAGGUCAAAGCGGCAAACGCCUGGAUGAAAGCAGACCGGUGGAACUGCUGGCUUCAUUUUUCUGAAAUGUGCCAUUGGCAUAAUGAUUCCACACCGUAUGAGUCGCUGCAAUGUGAAAAUUGAACUACAUUUUGUCUGUUUAUAAAAACAAGAUUAAAGACUUAAGCAGUCUGUGCUGAUAUCAUUACUAAA